rfam:Ovis aries breed Texel chromosome 15, whole genome shotgun sequence.
UCCCUGGUAGCUUGGACAGUAAAGCGUCUGCCUACAAUGCGGGAGACCCAGGUUUGAUCCCUGGGUCGGGAA